UGGGCGGGGCUUGUCAAUGAGCUCACCGUUUAGCCAGAGCAUAGCCAUUUUUAUAUUUGAAUUUUCUGAACUUCUGGUUGGAAUAAGUUUAGAAAAAUGUCCCUUAACAGCAGAGACGUUUUUAUUUUUGUGUUUUUCUGUUUUUUCUGCAACAUGAUAAAGUCCCGCUUAGUUACAGCAAAUACCAGGUAGUCCAGGCUCAAACAAACAAAGCCAAACAAGACAGCAUCCUCAUGUGCCUGUUUUUGGGGGGCGGGGGUGAGUGUCGACCCGAUCACUGUUGCCAUUUUUGUUCAAGUUCCUCAAAAGACCGUCCUGCCAAGCACAGGGGGACCAUGUGUCCAUCAAAGUCAGGCUGAUAUGAGGCGUGAGGGCUGAGGCCUCCACGAGAGAUGGAAGGACGGGACUGACUCAUGCAGAAGCUCAGGAAUCAGGAUGUCACUCUCAGCACAGCACACUGCCAUAGUGCAUCAGCCCACACUGAUCCUAUGGAGAAACUUCUGGAUCAAGUGCAGUAUUUACCAGUGUCAGGUGCUGACACUUACCGUUU